AAAGAGGGGGACCCUUCGGGCUCUUGCCAUCAGAUGUGCCCAGAUGGGAUUAGCUAGUAGGUGGGGUAAUGGCUCACCUAGGCGACGAUCCCUAGCUGGUCUGAGAGGAUGACCAGCCACACUGGAACUGAGACACGGUCCAGACUCCUACGGGAGGCAGCAGUGGGGAAUAUUGCACAAUGGGCGCAAGCCUGAUGCAGCCAUGCCGCGUGUGUGAAGAAGGCCUUCGGGUUGUAAAGCACUUUCAGCGAGGAGGAAGGUGGUGAGCUUAAUACGCUCAUCAAUUGACGUUACUCGCAGAAGAAGCACCGGCUAACUCCGUGC
rnacentral:rRNA from 1 species